UACGUAAGGGGGCUAGCGUUGUCCGGAAUCAUUGGGCGUAAAGAGCGUGUAGGCGGCCCGGUAAGUCCGCUGUGAAAGUCGGGGGCUCAACCCUCGAAUGCCGGUGGAUACUGUCGGGCUAGAGUGCGGAAGAGGCGAGUGGAAUUCCUGGUGUAGCGGUGAAAUGCGCAGAUAUCAGGAGGAACACCGAUUGCGAAGGCAGCUCGCUGGGACGUAACUGACGCUGGAGACGCGAAAGCGUGGGGAGCAAACAGG
rnacentral:rRNA from 1 species